rnacentral:rRNA from 1 species
UCAAUAAGCGGAGGAAAAGAAACUAACAAGGAUUCCCCUAGUAACGGCGAGUGAAGCGGGAAGAGCUCAAAUUUGUAAUCUGGCAGUCUCUGGCUGUCCGAGUUGUAGUCUGGAGAAGCAUUUUCCGUGCCGGACCAUGUACAAGUCCCUUGGAACAGGGCGUCGUAGAGGGUGAGAAUCCCGUCUUUGACAUGGACUACCGGUGCUCUGUGAUGUGCUCUCGAAGAGUCGAGUUGUUUGGGAAUGCAGCUCAAAAUGGGUGGUAAAUUCCAUCUAAAGCUAAAUAUAGGCAAAAGACCGAUAGUGAACAAGUACCGUGAGGGAAAGAUGAAAAGCACUUUGGAAAGAGAGUUAAACAGUAUGUGAAAUUGUUGAAAGGGAAACAUUUCAAGUCAGUCACGUCUUCCCGAGACUCAGCCAGGUUUCUUACUUGGUGCACUUCUCGGUGUGACGGGCCAGCAUCAAUUUCAACUGUCAGAGAAAGGCUUGGGGAAGGUGGCACCUUUGGGUGUGUUAUAGCCCCUUGCUGUAUGUGAUGGUUGGGAUUGAGGACCGCAGCAUGCCUUCACAGGCCGGGGUUCGCCCACGUAACAUGCUUAGGAUGCUGGCGUAAUGGCUUCAA